CGCAAAGUUACAAUUUUCCCGAAAAAUCAACUAUUUGCAUGCUUAAUUAAUGCAUUUGCCUAAUUUGCAUAUGUCAGCAAUAUGCAAAUUAGGUAAAGGCAUUAAUUAAGCAUGCGAAAGGCUGACUUUUUAGAACAAAAUGAAUAGUUAGAGGGCUUAAACUAAACCAAAUUGUCUGAAAUUUUUUACAGUAAUUAAAAACCCG